UACGGAAGGUCCUGGUGUUAUCCGGAUUUAUUGGGUUUAAAGGGAGCGUAGGCCGUAGAUUAAGUGUGUUGUGAAAUGUAGGCGCCCAACGUCUGCCUUGCAGCGCAAACUGGUUUACUUGAGUACGCGCAACGCAGGCGGAAUUCGUCGUGUAGCGGUGAAAUGCUUAGAUAUGACGAAGAACUCCUAUUGCGAAGGCAGCUUGCGGGAGCGUUACUGACGCUGAAGCUCGAAAGUGCGGGUAUCGAACAGG
rnacentral:rRNA from 1 species